UCUGAUUGAAGCCAAGUUUUGACAUCCCGCGACAAAACACCGUGGACAUUGGAGAUAGCCCAUUAAACAGCAGAUUACAAGCAGAUGGUCCAUUUUGUUUGUCUUCCAGUACUGCUAAUGUUUGAAUCCACACAAUAUUAAGGCACUGGAAACGUUUUCAACUUUCUAUCAGUUAUCCAAAACAACUUCACAGCUUGUUUAACUUGUUACGAUCAAACAGUAUUUCAAAAAGAGCACAUUCCAAUGAGUACGCCAAGUUGUCCUUCACGAUUCGCAUAACAAUCGACCUCUUCGUUUCUACCCAACACCGAAUGAAAUUAGUGGCAGAUUUUCAUGUUAUCAGGCGACCCAGUUUCUCUGAAGAAGGUGAUAAAGGGUAAUGGAGAAUCAGGAUUCGAUUUCGUAGAAGGAGCCUGGGAAACGACUACCACUUCCAAGGAAGGUAGCAUGCGCGCAAAUUGCCCAAUCCGAUACGGGGUGUAGUGACGAAAAACCGGAUACGGGACUCAUUAGAGGCACUGUACUUGGAAUGAGCACAAUUUAAAUUCUUUAACGAGGAUCAAGUGGUUCUCAGUUAAUAUCCGGAA
rnacentral:ncRNA from 1 species